rnacentral:lncRNA from 1 species
UUUUUUUUUUUUUUUUUUUUUUUUUUUGGUCUUUUUGCCUUUUCUAGAGCCGCUACUGUGGCAUAUGGAGAUUCACAGGCUAGGGGUCUAAUUGGAGGUACAGCUGCCGGCCUACACCACAGCCACAGCAAUGUGGUAUCCGAGCCACGUCUGCAACCUACACCACAGCUCACGGCCACGUCGAAUCCUUAACCCACUGAGCAAGGGCAGGGAUCAAACCCACAACCUCAUGGUUCCUAGUCAGAUUCAUUAACCACUGCGCCAUGAUGGGAACUCCAAGAAUGCAAUCCAUUUUGCAUGCAAAGAUAACCACAGCUUUGCCAUAACCCUUCUGGAGAGAGCUGGAAAGACACAUGGGGAAAACCAUGAGCUGGCCCCUCCACCGCUCAGGUAGGCUCUAGGACUCUCUCCCAGUGGACUUUCUCCCAGGUAAAGGCCUUUGGGAGCCCAGCCAAGGUUUUAAGGACCAGCUCCAAUUCAGACUCUUGUCAGGUCACCUUCCCAAGCUCCCCUGCAAGAAUGAAGGACCCUCCCCUUCUUCCUUGGCGCUCCCUGUGUAACUGGUGUGGCCUUCCUCCCGGCUGAUUUCCAUUUCCCUUCUUUGGGGAUAUCUUGGUUCUGGAGGCAGCCCGAUGCGAGUUCAAUACCAGCUCUCCCACUUAACUCAGUGCCUUGAGCAGGUGGCUCCACCUGUGAGGCUCAGGUCACUCGACUGUAAAAUGGGUAUAAUAAUAUCGCGUGCCCUCCAGGAGUGGUGUGAGAAGUAAACAAGGCCAGGCAUCUCAGGGACACUGCUCUGCCCCGCAUGGAAUCUGAGUCCCUCGGUAACCAGGACUUGCUGGGGUAUUGACGCCGAUGAUGCUGAAUUUUCAUGGCAACAAAGCAUCCGGCCACUUUCAAAUCACCUCUGACCUGUGCAGCGUCCAAGCAAGUGCCUUUCUUACGGUAACUGACCACAGCUUGCUCGGAGGAUAAGGGAGACGAUAAAGGAAAGGAGAGCAAUUAGCUCAGUGCCUGUAACCAAGGAGCUCAAGAAAUUUGAAUAUCCCUUUCUGCAAAACACAACUUUGUCGUACAGAAGCUUCAACAGCCUGAAUUAAGGCUGCUGGUGAAAAAAAAAGGGCUUAGAGAGGAAGAGAUGGGGACCCCCGGGGAACUGUAAAGUGAUCUCUAAAGAGACCAUGACCUUGUGGCUUUAAACAGGGCAUUGGUUGGGGUGACAUCAGCUGCAUGUCUUGCAGAAUGGAUGCAAAUCAAAUCUUUCAUGUCCUGCUCUUAUCCUCGAAAUGCCUGCACGGAUGAAAAAGGGAGGUGAUGAUAGGGCUGAUGCGCUGUAGGAAGGUUGAGGGGAGGACAUCGCGGUGGCAUGAGGGGCUUCAGAUGAAGGUGGAUGGCGUCCCCAGGAAGAGCCUCCUUGAUCCCCAAUCAAGAGACUUGGAUGUUGACUCAGGGGCCUCAAGAGACUGGACCCAGGGGAAGAAAUUGAACACUAGCUGCCCACCCCCACCUUCCCCCAGAUCACCUUCCCCAGGUAAUUCUAUCCACAGGUGGAAAGGAACGCUGUUUCCGCCCUGCACCCUGGGGAGACCCAAGCUGAGCCCAGAGCAAUAGACAGAGCACAUGCAUAGGCAAGCCCCCCAAGCCCCAACACACAUCCCGAGCCUGCUGCUCCCUCCACUUCAAUAUUCCCAGAAGUGAUGCUCGCUGUCAAGUAAAGGAAAGAAGGAGUUCCCAUCGUGGUGCAGCAGAAACGAAUCCGACUAGGAACCGUGAGUGAGGUUGCAGGUUCGAGCCCUGGCCUCACUCACUGGGUUAAGGAUCCAGCGUUGCCGUGAGCUGUGGUGUAGGUCACAGCUGAGGCUCAGAUCCCGCAUUGCUGUGACUGUGGUGUAGGCGGGCAGCUACACUCCCAUUCGACCCCUAACCUGGGAACCGCCAUAAGCUGUGGGUGCAGCCCUGAAAAGACAAAAACAAAAGAUAAAACAACAACAACCACAAAAACCUUUUAUUGUGUUGGAUCCCUGAGGUGUCCAGGAUUGAUCACCUGUCCUUGCAGCUGGGAUUACUUACUCCAAAUGGUAUAGACCCCAUUGUCCAUUCUUGGAAGGAUGAAUCCAUGGCAUCCAUUGCAAUUCUUUAGAUACCGGGUGGAAGUGGCACUGAGAUUCCAGGUGGGAGACCUGUCUCCCGUUCCAGGCUGUAAAAAUGCGCAGCUGAAUGAUUGGGAAGAAUCAUUUCCUCCUCUGGCUCUCAGCUCCUCAUUGACACAGCAAGGGUGCUGAGUGAGAUAAUCGUUUCCAUGUCCUGCCGCUCUAAGACGGCGGUGAUGCUGGGCCACAGGGCUCAGCCCGCUGACCUCCACCUGUCCCUGAAAUGCAAGCUGAUGCCAAGUCCCCGGUCUGCGGGGUGCCGACCCUCUGCUGAUCAGAACAGCUAAGUAUUAUUAGAGACGGUCCCCAUAGCCAAUGGAAGAGAUGAGGCAGAAUCAGGUGCUCAAGAACUGCUCCACCCAGGUUGCCCAGGCAACAGAUGACGUGAACAUGAAAUCUCCCAAUAUUCCUGGCUGCACCUCCACCCUGUGGACCCUCUGUCUGGCACCAUUUUGCCAGGCUCCAAUCAUAUCACGGACUGGAUAACUGGCCUCCCUGGAGCUGUGCAGGGCACCCUGCUGCCACCGCGGGUGGUGGCCUUGGCUUUCCUGGAACACACCGUGCCCGCCCACACCUCCUUGCUUUUGCCUGUGGGGUUCCACUUGGCCUGGAACAACAUCCCUCACUCCCCCAGCUGAGGGGGGAGCUCUUGUGUUCUUUCAAGGCCAGCUUGAAACACGGCCUCCUCCGGAACCCCCUCCCUGCUCGUCAUCCUUGCAGAAUUAAUUGUUGAUUGCCCCUUGAGAGCAUCAGUCACUUUGCUGCCCAGUUUGUCACUUGCAUGCCUGUCUCCCCCACUGGACUGUGUCUUCCUCAGCACCAUGACCUUGUCUUUGUCAUCUUUGAAUUCCAGGCACCCCAGGCUUAUGGUAAAUUUUCAAUGAAUAUUCAUGAAUUGCAUGAACCAAGUUGCCUUUUCCUUGCUGCCCUGGAGUCAUACACACAGAUGCCAAAAUGUGCUUUUGAAAAAAAAAAAAUUUAAAUGUAAAGCUGCUCAGAAAAUUCCCCCUCCCAAAGAAACAUCAUUGAUUAUGGAGUUAUGAAAGAGUGGCUGCUGACGCUGGUGCUCUGAGAUGAGAGAAGGGGUCAGCUGUUUUUCUGGAACCAAAAAGGGAUCGUGUCAAGUGGUGGGCUGCACACAUGCAUAAAAGAGGCAUAAAUGGCUCUGCGAAGAGACUCUGGGACAUGGGAUGACGAGGCCCCACCACUGAGGGCUGUGUCCAGAUGUGGUCUUAUGGUCCCCACUGACACCUGGCGGUCCUUCUGUGAGGCCACCUCUCUGCGGGCUGACAGGUGAGGCCAUCCCUCGGAAUUGGCCUGAUGGAGCUGCUGAUCCCCAGGGACCCAGAGAAGGAAUGUGAGAACCAGAAACAGAACACGAGAUGCACACGGGUGGAGGGAAACAGGACAAUGAGCUUAACUUCCCAUCAAAAUGUUGACGGUGAGGCAACGGCAGGAGAAGCAGAUUCCUGGGUGUGGUGAGAGGAGACCAGCGUGAUGGAGACCAUGGCAUGGCCAGCAGGCAGUCUGUGCCAAAGAGCAUCAGAGGGUGUCCCCCUGCCCAGAGAGUGCCGGAACAGCCACUGAGAGGCUAGCAUGGAGGAAGGAGGGCUGGGCCCUCUCACUGGAGCCCGUGCUGUGCUGUAGCUACAACCAUUAGAGGGAUCUGUUUCCACGUGAGGGCCAGCACGGCUGGGUGGCUUGUGGACAGGUCUCGGAAAGUUUACAGAAUCACAUCUGCAUGCUUUUGCCCCUAGUCAAUCGCCCACUUCCUCCUUCUCAACCUGGUAGAGGCUGUCUCUACCAGGACUGAGAUGCUGGGCUUCUAUUGUUCCAGAAGGCUCCAUCCCAACCUGCCCUCCAGCCCUCAAAUCAGGGAGACCCAUGAAGUGGGCUGAAGGUGGAUCCUCUCAAAUCAGUCCCCCAGCUAUCCAGACACGCUCACCUUGGGCCAAGCACUUCCCUCCUCAGGCCAGCCCCCUCCCCGUGUCACAGCCUGCACCAGCUCUUCAAGGGGGACCCUCACGGCAGUUCCUCCAGUGGUCAUGGGAAGAUGUGGGACCACACUCACUGCCUCGUGCUGGUUUCCCAUCCCAUCUUUCCCUGCAGACUCUGAGCUCCUUGGGGUCAAGGCUCAUGCUCCCACUUAUCCAAGGGGCCAGCUAGUGAAGAAUCACUAUGAAAGUGCAGUGACAGCUAAAACGGAUGAAGCAUCUUCCGCAUGCCAGGGACGAGUCCGCGUCCUUUGCAUUCAUUAUCUAAACCUUUACUACUCUGUGAGGCAGGUAUGUUACGACUCCUGUUCUAUGAAUGAGAACAGCAAGCGGCGGAGAGAGGAGCAACGUGUCCAAGGUCACAGAGCAGGCAGCUGGCGGACCCCAGGAUCCCAGCCCAGGCCCUUGACUCGGGGCCUCACCCUUAACAUGGCUCGUCCAACAACUAGGCUCCAAGACGCCUGGGUCUUCCUGGGUGGGGACGUCUGCACUGUCUUUGUCACACACGGGGCAAGAGCCUGUGCUCAUGCAAUAAAGUUAAUGUAAGAAGAACCAACUGUAUAGGCACCGAGCUGGACAAGCUCUUGGGCACCUGACACCUGAUUCAUUUCCAGCAACGCUCUGGGGUGGCGGCGCUCUGUGACAGAGAAGGAGGAAGCUGAGUCUGCUUUGAAAAUACGACCCACCCCCACCAUGUUCUAAAUCCUCUCAAAUCAUGUAACGUGUGUUUAUUUGGCUGAGCCUCAAAAUAUUGCUGCUAUUUAACUUUUUUUUUUUUUUUCCUUUUUGGCUGCCCCAUGGUGUAUGCAGUUCCCAGACCAAGGGUCAGAGCCAAGUUAUGCAGAUGUGGCCACAUGAGAUCCUUAACCCACUCUGCUGCGCUGAGGAUCAAACCCGGCACUACAAAGACACCACUGAUCCCACUGUGCCACAGCAGGAACCCCUGACCGUUUUUGACCAACAGCAUGGCAAUUUCAUGUGGUUCAAACUAAUAUGUCAGACUACGUACGACUAGGAAUAGCUGAUUAAUACGAUCAGUGAGAGACCUGUCACCCUCAACCUUAGGUCUCACCCUUCAAAAGUGUUAUCCCCAGAGGCACUGGUUGUGCUCAGGGCUAGGGUCCUUGUGAGCAUGUGACAUGUCAAGGAAGGUUCAAAUCCGGCCAGUGCUCACAUCUCAGAGUCCAGGGAAAGUGACACAAGGAUAUGGUUUACUAAAACUCUUAUAAGUAGGAGACUCAGGUUAGAGUUCUCAGGGUUGCCUUUCAACCUCUGCGUGACCUUCAGCAAGUGCCUUAGUCUCUCUGAGCUUCAGAAAAAAUAAAUAAAUAAGAAUACCCUUUGCUC